AACGAACGCUGGCGGCAUGCCUAACACAUGCAAGUCGAACGGGAUCCUGGUUUCGGCCAGGUGAGAGUGGCGGACGGGUGAGUAACGCGUGGGAACCUGCCCAGUGGUGGGGGAUAACUGCGGGAAACUGCAGCUAAUACCGCAUGAGCCCGAAAGGGGAAAGAUUGAUCGCCAUUGGAGGGGCCCGCGUUCGAUUAGGUAGUUGGUGAGGUAACGGCUCACCAAGCCUUCGAUCGANAGCUGGUCUGAGAGGAUGAUCAGCCACACUGGGACUGAGAUACGGCCCAGACUCCUACGGGAGGCAGCAGUGGGGAAUAUU
rnacentral:rRNA from 1 species